rnacentral:rRNA from 1 species
UGGCGGACGGGUGAGUAAUAUAUCGGAACGUACCCAAGAGUGGGGGAUAACGUAGCGAAAGUUACGCUAAUACCGCAUACGAUCUAUGGAUGAAAGCAGGGGACCUUCGGGCCUUGUGCUCCUGGAGCGGCCGAUAUCUGAUUAGCUAGUUGGUGAGGUAAAGGCUCACCAAGGCGACGAUCAGUAGCUGGUCUGAGAGGACGACCAGCCACACUGGAACUGAGACACGGUCCAGACUCCUACGGGAGGCAGCAGUGGGGAAUUUUGGACAAUGGGCGCAAGCCUGAUCCAGCAAUGCCGCGUGAGUGAAGAAGGCCUUCGGGUUGUAAAGCUCUUUUGUCAGGGAAGAAACGGCUGUGGCUAAUAUCCACGGCUAAUGACGGUACCUGAAGAAUAAGCACCGGCUAACUACGUGCCAGCAGCCGCGGUAAUACGUAGGGUGCAAGCGUUAAUCGGAAUUACUGGGCGUAAAGCGUGCGCAGGCGGUUUUGUAAGUCUGUCGUGAAAUCCCCGGGCUCAACCUGGGAAUUGCGAUGGAGACUGCAAGGCUAGAAUCUGGCAGAGGGGGGUAGAAUUCCACGUGUAGCAGUGAAAUGCGUAGAGAUGUGGAGGAACACCGAUGGCGAAGGCAGCCCCCUGGGUCAAGAUUGACGCUCAUGCACGAAAGCGUGGGGAGCAAACAGGAUUAGAUACCCUGGUAGUCCACGCCCUAAACGAUGUAUCUAGUUGUCGGGUUCUAAUUAACUUGGUAA